UACGUAGGGUGCGAAGCGUUGUCCGGAAUUAUUGGGCGUAAAGAGCUCGUAGGUGGUCUGUUGCGUCGGCUGUGAAACCCCGAGGCUCAACCUCGGGCCUGCAGCCGAUACGGGCAGACUAGAGUUCGGCAGGGGAGACUGGAAUUCCGUGGUGAUAGCGGUGAAAUGCGCAGAUAGUCAGGAGGAACACCGGUGGCGAAGGCGGGUCUCUGGGCCGA
rnacentral:rRNA from 1 species